CGGAAUGUGACAUUGGAUCUAUAAAUUUCAGUUUUGAGCAUAAAAAUUUUCAAUCUGGUAAAAUUAGUAGUAAAUGAAUCAUACAUUUAUAUUGUAGGCACCAGACGAAGCAGUGGUUCAUCAAAAUUUUAAGAAUCAAUAUAUUUCUAAAGCUGUUCAUAAGAAUAGUCCAAGAGACUUAGAUUUCUCUUUCAACAACCAUUGCAGGACACACUUGUAAGAUUGGUUUUAUUUAUCACUUUAGUAUAAUGUUAAAUUUCACAAAUCUCAAGAUGAUGAAGCAUGUCUUAAAUCUCGUCAAUAUCCAUAGUUUUGAUUAGAAAGAUAACUAGUUCCAUGUUGCCUCUUUUGUUUUUGUUAGGCAAAAACUUGUGUGGAUGCUAGAUAACUUAUCCAACACAUGAACUGAGAGAUCAAAAUUUUGAACCCUCAACAAUUAUUUGGUAUGUUAUAACAUUUCUAAGACAUAUGAAGGGUAAUGAAAUUCAAUGAUCCAGGUUGAGCCCACAAAGAAUGCCGUACCGGACCGAACUGUCCGGUACGGGGCGUGCCAAACCGUCCCGACGGGGAACCGAGACGGUUCUGGCAUGCAAAACGGCCCAUGCCGGUGCCGGGGAAG
rnacentral:lncRNA from 1 species